UAGCUGCCUUCUCUUACUUGGUAAAUUUCUUCAUCCGCCGAUAAAGAAUUACACCUGGUAUAUGUAAGUCUUCUAUAUUUUGAUUCAAGGACAAUUAGAUAAAAACAAAUGCGAAGCAAUUCCAGGUUGAACAGUCUCAUAUACUUAGAGCUCAUUUGGUGACGUUUCUUCAAAUAGUUUUCAAAAAAUGAAUUUGUAUUUUCAAGAUAUGAGAAUGCAUCAAACAGCUUUUGAAAACAUUUAAACAUACAUGGUUUAAAUAUGUGAAUUAGCUAAAACCUUUAAAAAUGCCCAUUAGCUUAUCCCUCAUUUAAAUUAAAAUUCCAAAAACACAACUUCUAUUAAUUGUAAGAUUAAUUCACUACAACAAAAAAGGUCAGCAGUGACCAAAUUCCCAGUGACCGGGUCACUAAUUCUUCAGGGACGUUUUACGCUUUUUUUCUAGUGUUUAGUCACCAAUUUUUAAAAUCUGUUUCAGUUUGGUCACUGAGAAUUGCUUGUUUUUAAACCAGCCCAAUGUUGUUUUAUUAUUAGUGACCACCAAGUAAAUAAAUAAAAAAUUAUCAAACGAAUGUUUAAGGCUUUAAUGACCUUUUUUAGAAUUUUAAAAUUAGUGUUUUCCUUUCUUCCGUCAACUACAGUAGCUUCUUCCCCAAAAUUCUAAAUCUGAGAGAGUUCGGCCUUUACUUUUGUCGAGAGAAAACUAUAGUAGCUUCUUCCCCAAAAUUCUCUGCUCCAAUUUGAACCAUGGAGUUAACGUAGAAGAUUACUUUACUUUUUCGUUCGAUUAGCCUUGUCUUUUGGUCAGCCAAAGAAUUGGCUUUGGUUUGUACGAUUGGGCACAAACAUUUCCGCUGGUUUUCAACAAAUCGCUCAAAGAUCGCUCUGGUAUUUUGCAUUGUGAUUGUUAGUUAUUCAUUUGCUUUUGAUAUUGGUUCCUUUCUGGAAUCUGAGUUUGAUUUCAGUUUUAACACAAGUUUUCAAAUCUAAGCAAUGCAUGCACGGGUUGGGGUUUCGAAAACUGAUAGAUGGGUGGGUGGGUUUAGGGUUUCUAAAAUUCAGAGACGGAAUGGUGUGAUUGCUAUGAAAUUAUGUUAAAAUUAUGUGAUGAGCUUGACGAGAUUUCGAUUUUGAGUUUUGAUUCCCAAAAGCUUCGAUUUUGAGAUACGACCUUGAGCUGGUGAGAUCCUAUUCUGAAAGCACCUUUUAAGACCAUGAGCUCCUCUGGAAUGGGCUUAUAAGUAUUAAUACAUAGCAAAGCAUCAAGAGGGUCCUUCUCAACAAUGGAUAAACUUAUUCUAAUUGAGGAUGCAGAACAUAAGGUUGAUUGUUAGUUUUGGCUUGAGUAAUUGGUGCAAGUUGUGCUAAUUUUAUUAUUAGAAAAUAACUCGUGUUUCAGGUUCUUUUCUUUGCAUUGUGUUGUGUAUGUAAUUGCAUUUCGACCGCUAGUCUUGUGGUUAAAUUUUACCUAACACAUUUUAAUAUUUUUUAAACUAGCAAAAGCCAAUUUAGGAUUGUGGUUCUUUUAUGAGACAACACACUCAUAAGAAUUAUAAGUCAUUACUGAUUUCAUUCAAGUUUAGGGAAAUUUAGGAUUGUGAACCUUUUACUUAACACAUGUUAUUUUUCAUGUACAAUGCUUAAUCUUCUCAUAUCUUCCAUUGCUACCAUCUUACAGCAUACUGCUCAAAAGCAUGAACCUCACUUUUGAAAGAUAUGAUCCUGCUCUGCUUAGGUGCAUUGUGAUACAUCAGGAUAAUGAACUGUCUGAGUCUUCCCCAGUAGCUCACUUCUACUUUAAAAGGGGACAUCAACACUAAAGGUUCAGGAAGCAGUUAGAGAAGGUGUGGUCAGACAUGAGAUAUUGAGCAAGAGAUGUGCUGGUUGAAAUACAUUUAUUUUUAGAUUUUGUUUUUGAGAGAUGUAUGUCUUGUGAAUUUGUGAGAGAAAUGUUGAUACAUAUAUAGUUUUUGGAAUGAUAUAUGAUACACUUUGUGUUGGGUAUCA